UUGCUCUCUUUAGCAGCACAUAUACUAAAAUUGGAAUGAUACAGAGAAGAUUAGCCUGGCCCCUGCACAAGGGUGAUAUGUAAAUUCAUGAAGCAUUCCAUAUUUUU
ensembl:snRNA U6 U6 spliceosomal RNA